GGAUCUCUCUCCUGUUUAUCUCUUAUCAUCUCUUUCACCCUGCCGUCUCUAUCUCAAGCUCUCGCUCUCUGGGUCUGCUCUUCUUUCUGUCUCUGUCUUUAAUCUGGCUCUCAUCUUGGCCUCCUUCCUCUUUCGGGCUUUCCGCUCAGGCUCCCGGUGAGAACUCCACACCCCACAGGCCCCAGACGGCCCAUGAAGAGGCAGGACACAGAGCUCUCCCAAAUCCAUCCUUUUCCUGGAGUUCAGCUUCUGACCAGGAAGUGGAAAACAGGAUUUCCUCUGAGGAUGCUCUCUGUGACCCAGACAGUUCCGGUGUGGGGAAUGGAGAGGAGGAGAUAGGGAACAUCACCCACACUUCCAGACCCUAAAGCCCCUUUUUGUGGAUCUGAGGUUUCCUUUCACGCUGGACUUUGAACUCCUUAAAAACAGGGACUGUGUAAUUCAGAGCUGGAGAAAGACCUGUUGGUGCCCUGAGAACAGAUGUCGCUCAACAUUUUGGUGGGGAAAACUGAAUUCUCUUUCUCUUUUUAAAUUGUGAGGUAUGUUAAGCAUUAUAAAAAGUAGGGAAAUUUCCUUUUCCUCACCUGUGACUGUGGAAAUCCUUUGAAAUCCCCCAAGACCCAAUUCCAUUGCUGUUUGUUUUUUUUUUUAAGAUUUUAUUUAUUUAUUCAUGAGAGACUCACAGAGAGAGGCAGAGACACAGCAAAGGGUUCCCCACGCAGGGAGCCCGACAUGGGACUCGAUCCAGGGGCUCCAGGAUCACACCCUGAGCUGAAGGCGGCGCUAAACCGCUGAGCCACCCGGGCUGCCCUCAUUGCUGUCUCUUGCAGAAGCCUCUCCCUCCUCUGGACUUGCAAACCACUCCUCACACCCUGUAUUUCUGCCUCAUUGUUUCAUAAUCACAGAAUGCCAGCGACACACGCUAACCUUUCACCUCAAAAAUUGGGAAACAAAAGCCUAGUGAGAAGAGGUGACUUGCCCGAAGUCACAGAAUUUGGGGCAGAGCAACAAGAGGAACCCAAUCAUUGCUGAUCCGGGAGGUGUUCUUUCUAUUUGCAUAUUUUCUCCCUUUCUUCGAUUUUCUGACCCCAACUCCCUCCCCCAAUGCUGUGCCUCUUCCCUCUUCAUAACUCCUUGCUUCCCAACAAGCUGUUCUGUCAUAAGUAUUUUUCCCUUUCUCUUCCUUAGUCUUCCUGCAAGAUUCUGGAAAAAUCUAGAACAUUCUCAGAAUAACCUUCCUCUCGGCUCCUCUUAGUAUACUCUCACAUUAUAGAGUUUUAUUACGAGUGCUGGCCUCACUGUAUUGCUGUGUGCAGGGCUCUCCUUGGUUAGACUGAGAUCCUACAAGGGCAAGUUCGUCCUGUCAGU
rnacentral:lncRNA from 12 species